GAGACGCUAGCUCAGUCGGUAGAGCAACUGCCUUUUAAGCAGUGGGUCCCGAGUUCAAUUCUCGGGCGUCUCA
rfam:Spirochaetes bacterium RBG_16_49_21 RBG_16_scaffold_883, whole genome shotgun sequence.